CGUAGGCGGUUUGUACAGUUGGGCGUGAAAUUCCUGGGCUUAACCUGGGGGCUGCGUUCAAUACGUGCGGACUUGAGUUUGGAAGAGGGUCGUGGAAUUCCCAGUGUAGAGGUGAAAUUCGUAGAUAUUGGGAAGAACACCGGUGGCGAAGGCGGCGACCUGGUCCUGGACUGACGCUGAGGCGCGAAAGCGUGGGGAGCAAACAGGAUUAGAUACCCUGGUAGUCCACGCUGUAAACGAUGUGCGCUGGAUGUUGGGCGACCUAGUCGCUCAGUGUCGUAGCUAACGCGAUAAGCGCACCGCCUGGGGAGUACGGCCGCAAGGUUGAA
rnacentral:rRNA from 1 species